AAACCAGCACCUCAAGUGGUCAGGAUGAUUAUUGGGCCUAAAGCAUCCGUAGCCUGCUCUGUAAGUUUUCGGUUAAAUCUGUACGCUCAACGUACAGGCUGUCGGGAAUACUGCAGAGCUAGGGAGUGGGAGAGGUAGACGGUACUCGGGAGGAAGUGGUAAAAUGCUUUGAUCUCUCGAUGACCGCCUGUGGCGAAGGCGGUCUACCAGAACACGUCCGACGGUGAGGGAUGAAAGCUGGGGGAGCAAACCGGAUUAGAAACCCGAGUAGUCC
rnacentral:rRNA from 1 species